UAGCUUUAAGACUGGGACUGCAUACUCGGGAAGAAGGCUGGACCCGGGAGCCGUCCUCAGCCGCCCCAGGCUCCUCCCCGGCGGGGAGCCGCAGCUCCGGCUCUCUGGGGUGUGCGCCUGCCCGCCCUCCUGCCUUCCUUGCCCUCCCACCCCUAGUCUACUGCUAGAGCCGCGUCCUCCCGGGGCAGAGCUCGUGUGCGCGGUCUUUGUGCUGUCUGCGGGAAUGAGGGUGGGAGAGGGUGGAGGAUGGGAUGGGCAGGCUGACCCGCCCGCGCGGACGCACUCUGGCGUCUAGUGGAGUGUGCAGUCCUUGCGGAUGCGCCCCCCCUGCCCACGGAGGUGGGGGGCCUGGGUCCCCGGUGUGAGCGGGAGGCGGGGCGAAGGAGGACGCGUGUCCUUGUCCCCGGGGUUUUAGGAAAGGCAAAGAGAAGGAGCGAGCCAACCCUUUCUAGUCAAGAAAGCCGUCCCCAUCUCUGGUCCAGAUGCUGGACGGGAGUCCACAAAACCUGCCAGCCCCCAAACAACGGCUGUCGGACCGCGGCCGGAGCGAGGGUGGGAGGACAGGCAGGGAGCCCCGUGGUGCCCGCCUUUCUCGCUCGGUCCCUCCCGCAGGCUGCCCUUCCAUCCCUCCCGGCCCCCAACAGCUUUCUAAGCCUUCCGCAGGGCCGUGGCUGGGGCAGGCCGGGAAGGAAGGCGUGACCUCUUAGGGGUCUGGACCGCUUUCCUGGGGCGGUUGGUCGAGUACUAGCAGACCCAUUGGCUGGGGGAGGGCGAGAGAGGAGGGACGCGAACUCUCGAGUAGCCUCGUGUCACUCUCCUGCGGGCGGGAACUCGGACUCUCCCUCCCCCACUCGCGUCCUCCUGGCUUCUGACCUGGGAGCCAGACAUCCGUUUCCACACACGCGCUUUUCUCCAUUUCUCUCUCCCUUUGUUCCGUCCUGCGCCGUUUACUACCCUGGCUGCCUUCCUCCCACCGGGGUCAGCCCCUCGCUUUACAGUUGCCUCACAGCCUCCAGGGUUCAGACUCCCAUUCUAAAGCGAUCCAUCUUUCCGGGCCGGGAUGACGAGGCUUUUACACAUCUCCAAAAUCGCAAACAUGUGAGCACUUUGAAACGAACAAAGCGCUCCACUAGCAGCCAAGUAUCCCAGUGGCCCCAGAGAUGCUGAUCUUGGGAAUGAGAAUUCAGUUACUUUCUCUGCCCGAACUCCGGAGGAGAUAAAGUGGUUAAUUUCUAUUCAUCACUUUCAUCACGCCGGGUAGAGAUAGGAUCUCGAAGGGAAGUCCACUCGAGAGCCGAUUUGGAGGGUAGGGUGCUGAUAAUGCCCCUGAGGGCACUGAGUGAAACAAGUCACAGAAAUCUCUUCAAAGCAGCUAGUAAAGAGCCCCACUUUCUAAACAGAAAGAUAGUCCCAGUUUACUCAUCUCCUCAAGAAAUGAGCAGCAGAAUGAUUUCAGAGAAGCCCGAAG